AGAUUUGCUGGGUUCUUCCUGUAUGUUUCAAAUACAACAUCCAGAGAAGACGGUCAUCUUUGUUUUCAUGAGAUACAGACCGUAAGCGGUUCUCCAAUCGAGGAUCAGAGGAUUAACUGUUCUGUCUAUGGACGUUAUGUCAUCUACUAUAACGAGCGUAAUAAUCCGGAUGUUACCUACCCUGAUUACUACUCUACAUAUGCGUUCAAUGAAUUAUGUGAACUUGAAGUAUACGGGUGCCCAGUUCAUGGUUAUUUUGGAGAAAAAUGUAACCGAUUAUGUCCAGAGAAAUGUCAGGGACAGCAGUGUGAUGCAGUAACCGGUUUUUGUGUGAAAGGCUGUUUACCAGGAUAUCACGGUGUACACUGUAGUUAUGCAAAUUUAGCAUUAGCUAAACCUGCAUGGCAGCAAUACCCCUUUUCAGCUACCAAAUGGGGAGCAGAUAAAGCAGUUGAUGGACUAUAUUCAGAUCGAACAGCAGGGGGAAACCAAUGUACCAUAUCAACAUAUAAUAAAGUCACAGCAGAGUGGAGGGUAGAUCUACAGCGAGUAGUUAGCAUCAGUCACAUCAACAUCUUCUAUAGGACG